rnacentral:sRNA from 1 species
AACCCGAAAACAUCUUGUUAACUAGCAGAGACCAAAUCAUGGUUGGCGACUUAGGUGUUGCUAGGAAACUAAAAGAUACUCUACAAAGUGCUCGUACUCAUAUAGGAACACCAUGCUACAUGAGCCCACAAAUAUAUAAAGAGCAACGUUACACUAAUAAGACUGAUGUUUGGAGUCUUGGGUGUGUUUUUCAUGAAGUACUGUCACGGAGAGCACCAUUUAAUUAUACAAUGCAUAUGCCGAUUGUUGAA